rnacentral:rRNA from 1 species
UACGGGGGGGGCAAGCGUUGCUCGGAAUUACUGGGCGUAAAGCGCACGUAGGCGGAUUGUUAAGUCGGGGGUGAAAUCCUGGAGCUCAACUCCAGAACUGCCUUCGAUACUGGCGAUCUCGAGUUCGGGAGAGGUGAGUGAACUGGCGAGUGUAGAGUGAAAAUUCGUAGAUAUUCGCAAGAACACCAGUGGCGAAGGCGGCUCACUGGCCCGAUACUGACGCUGAGGUGCGAAAGCGUGGGAGCAACAGGG